CCUGUGUUUAGGAGUGUGCCAGGAGAGAGAUGCAGAGAGUGGCACUAGUAAGCCAUAUCAUUACAAACAACUGUUUGCUCAUCUAUGGCAUGAUACCGAAGUGGGCUGAAGUAAAGCGCAGCAACAGGCUGCAUCAAAGAAACCACAACAGUCAUUUCAGGACAUGGCCACGACAUUUUGGGAGUGUCUCAGUCAGCUCAGCUCCCUAACUCCUGAGCUUGUGAAUCGGUAUAUGGUGUACAUGAAUCCGGGCACUUGUAAGAACGGAAACAACUCCAGCCCAGAAGGAAGUUUCCCAUUCAGGAAUAAAGUCGUUAUUAAGGAUUUUGAAGCUUAAAAAUUCUAGUUUUUGAAUUAUAUUUACUUUCUGUUUUAUUAAUUUCCAAUUGUAUCUGGACAUUUUAAUUCAACUUCAACAAAGAUGAUGGAUUUGUAUGUUUAGGAGUGUUGUAUACCAAAUAA